rnacentral:rRNA from 1 species
UACGUAGGGGGCGAGUGUUACCCGGAUUUACUGGGCGUAAAGGGGGCGUAGGCGGCCGUGAAAGUCCGGUGUGAAAACUCACGGCUCAACCGUGGGACUGCGCUGGAAACUACACGGCUUGAGGACGGUAGAGGGAGACGGAACUGCUGGUGUAGGGGUGAAAUCCGUAGAUAUCAGCAGGAACGCCGGUGGAGAAGUCGGUCUGCUGGGCCGUAACCGACGCUGAGGCACGAAAGCUAGGGGAGCGAACCGG